rnacentral:misc_RNA from 1 species
GCAACUGUAGUGGUCUUCACAGCAAGUGGCUCCUUCAAGUGGGCAGCAUCCCCAAGAGAAGCAAGACCUACGGAACUGAAGGAUACAGCAGCAAGUGGUGCCGACAGCGCAUUGAGAAUAUUCAUCACACUCUGUAGGUGGCUUGACCGGAGAUGGAGGAGAUGGAGCGGGUUUAGGAGGAUUUGGUCCUGUUUUUACUGGAUAUGAAGGCUCUAUGGCUAAACCACACAAGCCACUAGAGCUGGCAACGUUACGCUGGACUCUGAGGUAGCCGUUCUCUCCCCAGUUAGCUCCCCAUGAGUUCCUAACGAUCCAAUAAUCCAUGCCAUUCUCAGUACCAUAUCCAGCAAUAACUACACCAUGAUCCACUGCAGUACCACAUUUUCCAGUGAAGAUACCAGAUUUGUAGUGCUGGAAGUCUCUGCCACCAGCUUCAAGUGCAAUGCUCACAGGUUGAUGUGCAACAGCCUUUUGCAACGCCUUUUCGUUAUUAACAGGAACAUCUUCAUAGCUAUCUAUUUUAACAACCUUGGCAUUUUUCCUAUAUUGAUCACAUACGCCAUUGCGUUCUUUGUAAGGGUAGUCUUCUUCAGUGUCGAUUCCUCCAUUCUUAAUGACGAAUUCAAAGGCGUAGUCCAUAAGACCACCAUCGCAACCUUCAUUGUACGACCUAUCACAAUCCACCAACUCUUGCUCUGAUAGUGAUAUCAAAUUCCCAGUGACUAUCGCGUUUAUUGAUUCCAUGGCAGCAACAGCAGAGAAUGCCCAACAACUCCCACAGCUUCCUUGAUCCUUGACACCAACAAGCACACCUUUUUCUCUCCAGUCAAUUGAUUCCGGCAAGCUAUCCCCAACUUUAGGAAGAUACCGAUCACUUUUGUUCUUCGAUAACUUUUUCCGGUCACCGGAACUCUUCGUUCCCAAGUAAAUCGACCUGUACUCCUCAUUAGUCAGAUCGGCGAAUUUCGUCAAUCCGAGCUUAUAACUCUGAUUCGGAACAGAGUUCUGUUCGUCUAUGUAUCUCAAGUUAUCCUUGAAGAUCUGAAAUCUCUUAUCCUUUUCUCCUAAGGCGUUGUACGAUUUUCCGUGCUCGAUUAGCCAGGACUCGUACAACGCCGAGACUUCAUCGUCGGUACGACGGUGAAUAUGUGUCUCGUCGUAGCUAAUAAUUGACAUAUCGGAAGCAGAGGAUAAGGUGGAGAAGAUGAGCAUGAGAAGUAUGGAUAUGGUGAGAGUUGAGCUGUGAGCUGCCAUGAUUGGUCGAUAUUAUUUUUU